rnacentral:lncRNA from 1 species
CCUGGGCUGUGUCCCCACUGCGCUCCUGCACGACCCCCGGUGCCUGCCCACUGAGGGUCGGGAUGGCCCACUAUGUUGCAGAGCAGUCUGACAGCCCUGCGUGAAAAUGUGCAGCCUGGAGGGGACUUUUUCUAACUUCGUUUGGCAUCCAGCGAAGACACUGUGACCCCCUGGGAGCUGCAGUGUGGCACUGCGUGUAUUUGACAAGCUGAGUCCGACACUCAGUGUGCAGAGUGUCAGUUUGUCAAAUAC